AGUGAACGCUGGCGGUAGGCCUAACACAUGCAAGUCGAACGGCAGCACAGAGGAGCUUGCUCCUUGGGUGGCGAGUGGCGGACGGGUGAGGAAUACAUCGGAAUCUACUCUGUCGUGGGGGAUAACGUAGGGAAACUUACGCUAAUUCCGCAUACGACCUACGGGUGAAAGCAGGGGAUCUUCGGACCUUGCGCGAUUGAAUGAGCCGAUGUCGGAUUAGCUAGUUGGCGGGGUAAAGGCCCACCAAGGCGACGAUCCGUAGCUGGUCUGAGAGGAUGAUCAGCCACACUGGAACUGAGACACGGUCCAGACUCCUACGGGAGGCAGCAGUGGGGAAUAUUGGACAAUGGGCGCAAGCCUGAUCCAGCCAUACCGCGUGGGUGAAGAAGGCCUUCGAGUUGUAAAGCCCUUUUGUUGGGAAAGAAAUCCAUCUGGUUAAUACCCGGGUGGGAUGACGGUACCCCAAGAAUAAGCACCGGCUAACUUCGUGCCAGCAGCCGCAGUAA
rnacentral:rRNA from 1 species